rnacentral:rRNA from 1 species
UACGUAGGUGACCAGCGUUGUCCGGAUUUACUGGGCGUCAAGGGCUCGUAGGCGGCCAACUACGUCCGACGUGAAAUCCCUCAGCUUAACUGGGGAACUGCGUCUGAUACUGGAUGGCUUGGAUUCGGGAGAGGAAUGCGGAAUUCCAGGUGUAGCGGUGAAAUGCGUAGAUAUCUGGAGGAACACCGGUGGCGAAGGCGGCAUUCUGGACCGACAUUGACGCUGAGGAGCGAAAGCCAGGGGAGCAAACGGG